rnacentral:lncRNA from 1 species
GGGCAGAACCCCGUCACGUGCCCCUUGUGCGGCCUUGUGGUGGUGGCUUUGGUGCCCUGCAGAAACUCCAAGCGUGACAGCAGGCACAGCAGGCAGGGACGUGCACCACGUCCUUGAGGAAGAUGAGGCAUUUCUGCAGCUUGAGUCCCUCGAGAGGUGCAGUGGUAGAAUGGUGACAGCGGUGCCCUGCAGGCAGCAGUUGCAGGGCUGCAGGAGGUGCUCACACAGUGCCAGCAGGCGGGCUGAGCCCUGCUCCAUCAGCCUCAGGUUGCUGCACUGGAGGCGCAGGGACCCCAUCACAGCACCGCUGGGUUCGGAGUGUCCACCAGAGAGAAGCUGGAUGGUCCUGUGCCACAGGAAUGUGGAUCUGCACCUUUGGCUGCCCCAGGAGAGACUCAGGAGUGCUGGACUGGGAGGGAUCGCUGCAUCACGGUCCAAAGCUCAGCCACACCUUGCAGUCUCCUUCAGCAAACCCUGAGAUGCUCAUUUGAACCUGGACAAUUUUUUUGUCCCACUGCUCGUAUCAGAAGACUGCUCUGCAGUGUCACUGCUCUGACGUUUGGAAAUGUUCUCCUGAUUUGCAGCCUAACUUUAUUCAUGGCCAGAUUGUAUUCAUGGCACUCGUGCCUAGGCUGUCUGCUAGCUCUUUUCCUUCUUGUAUUUAAGCUGAUGUUAUCUGCUUUUGCUUACCAAUUUGCCCGCUGGCUGGAAUUAUGCAUGGAAAAGAAGUUUCCCAUGCCCUCCAUGUGGUUGUUUUAACCUCUCUAAAGGAGCUAAAUAAUUAUUCUUCAUCUAAGGGUGAUUGAGAGCAGGGCUCAUGGUAUAACAGCACCAUUUAUUUGUAAGGGG